AUGACAGCAGGACACUGGAGUUUUGGAGGAGAGGCAGGGAAGGCUCCAGAGACAGGGACAGAGACCCCUGCCAUUGAGUAGCAGAGAAGGAGUGAAAAUGAUUGGCAUCACUCAACUGAACCUCAAGACCCUUAAUCUAAUCGUGGCUGGGAUACAAGCAAGCUGUAGAAGACUGCAGGCAGUACACUUCCUUCUCUUCAAAAUCCAAAAAGAUGAUAAGCUCCUUGAGAACAGACACCUUAUCAGGGCUUAGAACAGUACCUGGCUCACG